CGAACGGCAGCGCGGGGGCUUCGGUCUCUGGCGGCGAGUGGCGGACGGGUGAGUAAUAUAUGGGAACGCGCCCGGCGGCGGGGGAUAACUCUGGGAAACCAGAGCUAAUACCGCAUGCGUUUCGCCUUUCGGGGCGAAAGAAAGCGGGGGACUUCUUCGGAGGCCUCGCACCGGCGGAGCGGCCCAUAUCCGAUUAGCUUGUUGGCGGGGUAACAGCCCACCAAGGCCGCGAUCGGUAGCUGGUCUGAGAGGACGGACAGCCACACCGGGACUGAGACACGGCCCGGACUCCUACGGGAGGCAGCAGUGGGGAAUAUUGGACAAUGGGGGCAACCCUGAUCCAGCAAUGCCGCGUGUGUGAAGAAGGCCUUCGGGUUGUAAAGCACUUUCGCGGGGGAAGAAAAAGCGAGGGGUAAUAUCUCUCGCGCCUGACGGUACCCCGAGAAGAAGCACCGGCUAACUACGUGCCAGCAGCCGCGGUAAUACGUAGGGUGCGAGCGUUAAUCGGAAUUACUGGGCGUAAAGCGUGCGCAGGCGGCCUGUCAAGUCGGGUGUGAAAUCCCCGGGCUCAACCCGGGAAUUGCGCUUGAAACCGGCGGGCUAGAGUACGGCAGAGGAAGGUGGAAUUCCGUGUGUAGCGGUGAAAUGCGUAGAUAUACGGAAGAACACUCAUGGCGAAGGCAUCCUUCUGGGCCGUAACUGACGCUCAUGCACG
rnacentral:rRNA from 1 species